AUAGGACUUCAUGAAAAUUAAAAUCCUUUGCUCUUUAAAAGACUGGGAAGGCACGCCACAGACUGGGAAAGUGUUUGCAAAACGUUAUCUCCAGCAAAGGACUUGUAGCUGGAAUAUAGAAAGAUCUCUUACACAUUAACCAUCUAGGAUCGACAACCCAAGUAAACAGUGAGCCUCGGCUCAUGCAGGUCCCAAGAAUGGGCAGAGACAGGGGGCCUCCCCAUCUGGGGCUCAGUCCGCUUGGGGCUCAGUGGUCCUCCCUGGAUGGGGGGAGGGGGGUAUGUGGGGGAGCCACAGCCCCAGGGAGGCCUUGACCCCAUGCAGAACGACAGACAGACAGACAGACGGAGGUGGCCUGGCCACUGGCCUCGCCUGCACCCAGGUGUGGAAGACAUUGAAGAACGGGAAGGGGUUGGCUUGUCACGCUCCAGGGACACAGUGGACACAAAGCCUCAGAGCAGCAUCUUCCCUGGAGCCCGGAUAAGGCAGAGGCUGGGUGUCCUGGACCUUUAGAAGGUCAGGCCUCCUUCACCCCUUGGAGCUUUUGGGGUCCCUGACAACACCCCCUGGCCCCGCCCAGCCGGGCCUCACCUUUCUCAUCUUGCCCACAGGAAGCCGGCUCAGAGUAUAGGCUCAGUGGCCCCACAGCUGAGGUCACCUGACCUCAGGUGAGUGCCUUUAGUCUGCCCAUCUGUAAAAUGGGAUCGUCACAGUUCGAGCCUCUUUCAGGGCUGGCUGGCCGCCCUUAUGAAUGACAUAGCUGCCUUCCUCGCUCUGUUUACAAAAUUCGCCGCCCCAGCCCUGCCUACCACCCUUCCUGGCUUUCUUUUCCUUCCCAGCACUCACAAUGCCCUUACUUGGUACACCCGCGUUUCUGUUCUGGGGGCAGGUGGGGCCGUGUGUUGCUGGGGGUGCGGAGGGCCAGGCCACAGGCAUCAAGGAUCAGACAGCGUUGCGUGUCGGCACCUGUGGCCACCUCCUGCGGGAUCUGCUUCGUCUGUGAUCAUGGGCCCCCCGGUGAGCUGGAUCUUGGGAUUUUAUUUUUAA
rnacentral:lncRNA from 1 species